AAAGUCGUAACAAGGUUUCCGUAGGUGAACCUGCGGAAGGAUCAUUAUCCAUCCUUAACAGGUGCGGUCGCGGCCCCUGGGGGCUCCCCCAGGUGGUAAGGUGAAAUACCCUAUCGCGCCGCAUACCCGCAUCCUUUUUUUACGAGCACCUUUCGUUCUCCUUCGGCGGGGCAACCUGCCGCUGGAACCUGAUAAACCUUUUUUGCAUCUAGUAUUACCUGUUCUGAUACAAACAAUCGUUACAACUUUCAACAAUGGAUCUCUUGGCUCUG
rnacentral:misc_RNA from 1 species